UACGAAGGGAGCUAGCGUUGUUCGGAAUCACUGGGCGUAAAGCGCGCGCAGGCGGCUAUCCAAGUCAGUGGUGAAAGCCCGGAGCUCAACUCCGGAACUGCCAUUGAAACUGUUUAGCUUGAGGAUGAGAGAGGUGAGUGGAAUUCCCAGUGUAGAGGUGAAAUUCGUAGAUAUUGGGAAGAACACCGGUGGCGAAGGCGGCUCACUGGCUCAUUACUGACGCUCAGGCGCGAUAGCGUGGGGAUCAAACAGG
rnacentral:rRNA from 1 species